AGGGAGAACCAACCUCAAAUGAUGAUCACCACUUUUUAGUGAUCCAUUUGACUGUUCAUUCCUAAGGUCGAUCGGUACCUCAGUGAGUGAUAAUCACUCAUCUCGGUCCUUAAGCCUGUCUAGGUCACCACCCCUUAGCUGAUAAGCUUUGUGGGAUGGGCCCGAGAGGGUUCCUGGGCCAUUAGCUCAGGUGGUUAGAGCGCACCCCUGAUAAGGGUGAGGUCCCUGGUUCAAGUCCAGGAUGGCCCAUCGGGAUUGGGGGUUUAGCUCAGCUGGUAGAGCGCCUGCUUUGCAAGCAGGAUGCCAGCGGUUCGAGUCCGCUAACCUCCAUUAGUCUUGAUAAUGGAACUGUGGCGCAGGGUGACUUAGAAGGAUGUUGGUGAUUCCAGCCUCGUUUGAUUCUUGUUUCAAGUUCAAACGAUGCUGGGCUCAGCAAUGGGUUCAGCAAGAACCUUGACAACUGCAUAGGUAAGUCUGGAAAUAAAGCAUCUCACAGAGAUGAUCCAGGCAUGAAGUGAUUCACGUUACGGCGUGAUUUGUUUGAUGUUUGGUUCAACAAUUCUGGAGAAAAGCCGAGUCCUGAAUCAAUUUGAUCAGGAACAAAAU
rnacentral:tRNA from 1 species